rnacentral:rRNA from 1 species
UACGUAGGCAGCGAGCGUUGUUCGGAGUUACUGGGCGUAAAGAGUGCGUAGGCGGUGUUCCAAGUCUGUUGUGAAAUCUCCCGGCUCAACUGGGAGGGUGCGGGCGGAAACUGGGACGCUGGAGUACGGGAGAGGUAAGCGGAAUUCCUGGUGUAGCGGUGAAAUGCGUAGAUAUCAGGAGGACACCGAUGGCGAAGGCAGGUCACUGGGCCGCAACUGACGCUGAGGAGCGAAAGCAUGGGGAGCGAACAGG